CACGUAGGGCGCAAGCGUUGUCCGGAAUUAUUGGGCGUAAAGAGCUCGUAGGCGGUCUGUUGCGUCCGCUGUGAAAACUCGGGGCUUAACCCCGAGCCUGCAGUGGAUACGGGCAGACUAGAGGUAGAUAGGGGAGAAUGGAAUUCCCGGUGUAGCGGUGAAAUGCGCAGAUAUCGGGAAGAACACCUAUGGCGAAGGCAGCUCUCUGGGACGGUACUGACGCUGAGACGCGAAAGCGUGGGGAGCGAACAGG
rnacentral:rRNA from 1 species